CUGUCAUGUAGCAACAGUUAACUGUCGUGGCCUACACUCUGUAUGAGGCAUGAAGAGAAGGUCCUUUCGUCAAGAAUGAAGUGAGUUAAUCGCCAUGGAGAAAGAGUCUGAAGAGACAUUUGAGAAGAAUGAGUUUAACUCUUAUUCUGUAGAGAAGACAUCUCGAGAAGAAGCUUAGAAGUGCCAUCCUGAGAGAGCAGAAAAUUGUUAGACUUUGGUUUCAGCACUGAGGAAGAGCCAGAAGCUGAUGAUAGGUGAUUGGCUGUGACCUUUCCCAUAAAGCAACUAGUGGUUUGACAACCAAUCCAUCCAAGAAGAACUCUAAGAGGGAUUUAGGUUGGGCCUCAAAUGAGCAAUGAUUCACCUUCAAGCUGCUUCUUCCUCUAUGGCCAGCCGCUCUACCUCUUCUGCCCCAAAACCGAGGGGGGAGAUGUGCUAUUUGCUCAGCGAUUCUCUCAGCCUCUUUCCCUAAUUUGCCUUAUUAUUCACGUGACCUGGAUAUUCCUAUAGAAAAAUUCGGCAUCUCCUUAUAGAAAUAAUUAGAUAUGAUGGCAGUGUGAUCCCCACUGGUAAAAACCACAUUCCAAAAAUGAGCUUUGAUUUCAGAGAGAGAGAGAGAGAGAGAGAACACCCACCGAAGCCUUGCAUAACAAUGUUCUGCCUGGCAGUUCAGGGCACCAAGCUCCUGGCUGGCAGUUCCUGCCUGUUUUCCCCGAAUUUGCUUUGAUGUCUCUUGCUUCUUGUCAUUGAAAAAGAAAGAUGGUUGGAUUCUUUGGGAAAGCAGCCUUUGAAAAGUAACUCUUUUCACACCUAUUUAAUGUUGGUAACUGUUGCAGAAACACUCCUCUGUGUCAGAGAGUUAAUGAGGUAUUUACUAAAAUGUAUUUUUUUCCUUUAAAAAAACACAUAAGAAGAGAGGGGCGGGCCUUUAUGAGGGUCUUUUCACACCAGGAAAUGAUCUUUCUUACAGAAUUUUAUGAGAACCGCAAUCUACUGAAAGCUCUAUUAGCACUUGAGAAGUUUCCAUUUCUCUCACCAUUCAGGGAUCUCUCCACCCUGGUUUACCCCAAAAAUAAACCAGGAGGUGGGGGAAGGGAAUGCCAUGUUUUGACUUUUGGUGUGAGAUCCAAUCACUGACAUCAGCCCCCUCUCAAGCUUCGGAAGCUUCAGGCUUCCCAAUCUAUUGUCAUUUAUACCCAAAGGAAAUAAGGGGAGGGGAAAAAGGAAUUGGAAGAUAGGGGGAGGGAAGAGAGAGGAAGAGGAGGAAUUAGAAAGUCAUUUGUUAUAUCUAUACACAGAAAUCAAAAUAGAGAUUAACUCCUCACCCCAGACUGUAGAUAGCAUUCAAGUGUUGACUAACAGUCACACUAGUCGACCUCUGAGACCCUUACCAACUCAUCACUUCCUGCUCCCAAACCAAAAAACCCAGGCCUCAUUUCCAGGUGAAUUUUCAAUUUUCAGGCGAAUUAUGUAAAUAAUCCAUUGCUUGGUUUCUCCAAUUUGUCUUAGCACCGAAAAGGAAAGAGAAGAAAAAGCAAGACAGAAAGGAAGACAGAAGAGAUAAACCACACCAUCAUAGAGGAAUAUAUAUAUAUGUAAAUAUAUAUGUUUAUAUGUGGAGUUUUACCCAAGAUAUGACUAUCUCCCCUGACUAAAUAUCCAGCAUGAUGUGGAAAUCCCAAUUGCUUGAGGCAGAGUGGGCUGAUGAAAAAUCUUGGGUUGGUUCAUUGUUGAUUCUCUUUCUUCCCCCACCCCCCACCCCCUAGCUUUCACAGCUUUGACUCUGGACCAUCUGUAUUAGAGACAAAUUCUAACACUGCACUAAAAAUAAUGAUACCAAACAUUUUAAUUGCACCUUUUUGUGACAAGGUUACUAUAACAGCACUUUACCAUAAAAUCCUACAGCUCGAUUAUAAAACUAUCAGCACUUUCAUUUUAAGAAAAAACAAUUGGAAAAACAUUCUGAGCCUGACUUCCCCAUCAAGGUCUCCUGCAGCUGAUUUAAACACACACACACACAC